rfam:Bombyx mori DNA, contig: Bm_scaf74_contig31721, strain: p50T/Dazao, build 2, whole genome shotgun sequence.
AUACUUAGCUGGCGUAGAGGGAUGCCGUGAUCAUGCAGGCGAUUCCUCCAGGGCGAGGCUGCUCCAUUGCACUACCCUUGCACUGGUUGACCCUUGCGAUUAUCCUUAAUGCGGAUAACUCUGACGCGUAUUUUUUGUUUGUAUAGCCUUAGUAUAAUGGCUAUA